rnacentral:lncRNA from 1 species
UAGCCAGGACGGUCUCUAUCUCCUGACCUCGUGAUCUGCCCGCCUCAGCCUCCCAAAGUGCUGGGAUUACAGGCGUGAGCCACCGUGCCCGGCCAGUCUUUGCUCUAUUAAGUCUUUCAACUGAUUGGAGAAGGCCCAUCCACACUAUGGAGGGUAAUGUGCAUACCCUAAUUCCACUGAUCUAUGUAUUAUUCUUAUCCAAACAAAAAAAUCUUGACAGAAACAUUCAGAAUAAUGUUUGACCAAAUAUCUGGGCACUGUGGCCCAGCCAAGUUUAAAGACAAAAUUACCCACCACACCUACAGAUAUCUAACUGACCUCGUAAAUUUUAUUGAAAAGACUAUCAUUUUGUCCGUUGAAUGGAAGUGGCAUCUUCAUGAAUAUGUACCUAAACUAUCUAUUCUGCCUUAAUUAUAGUGUUUAUAGUAAAAUAAUUCUCAUAUGUAAUACAUAUGAGAAUAUGUGAAUAAAUUAUGUAAUACAUAAAUAUAAAUAUCUUUUAUAGUAAGCUAAGUCAAAAUUUAAUUUUUAGCAACAUUUAUUCAGGAUGGAUCAUAGGCCACAAUGUGGAAGCUUAGACAGUAAAAGCAAUACAAAUUCUAUAACAAAACAGUACAAAAUAUCUUUCAUGACCUUGAGAUAGGCAAAGAUUUCUUAAACAGGACCAAAAAGACACCAAAUAUUUUUAAAGUUUAUUAAAUUGAACUUCUAUAAAUUAAUGACUUCUAUUCAUCAAAUAAUAUAAUUAAGAUAGUUAAUCUUGAUGUCAUCCCAUUUGUUUAUUUUUGCUUUUGUUCCCUAUGCUUUCAGGGUUAUAUCCAAAAAAUUGCUGAUCAAACCAAUAACUUGGAGAAUUUUCUGUUUUCAUGUAAUAGUUUUACAGUUUCAAGUCUUAUAUUUAAGUCUUUCAUCAAUUUAGAGUUAAUUUUUGUAUAUGGUAUGAUAUAAGGAUCUCAUUUCAUUCUUCUACAUGCGGAUACUCAGUUUUUCCCACAGCAGUUAUUGAGAAGGCUGUGCUUUCCCCACUGUGUGUUCUAGGAACCUUUGUCAAAAAUCAAAUGGCUAGGUUUAUUUCUGGGCUUUCUAUCCUGCUCCAUUGGUCAAUGUGUCUGUUUUUAUAGGAGUACCUAUGUGGUUUUAAUUAAUAUCACUUUAUAACAUGUUCUGAAAUCAGGGAGUAUAAUGCCUCCAGCUUUGUUCUUUUUGCUAAAUAUUGUUUUGGCUAUUCAGCAUCAUUUGUGUCCUCAAGUCAAUACUCUAAGUUCCUACUCAAGAAUACAUCUACCAAAUUUGUAUAAGAUCCAUAUGAGGAAAGCU